rnacentral:rRNA from 1 species
AUUGAACGCUGGCGGCAGGCCUAACACAUGCAAGUCGAGCGAGCAGCGGACUGAUGAUUAAUGCCUGGGCAUUGGCCAGUCGAGUGUGAUAACGGUUGGAAACUGCUGCUAAUACAGCAUAGUACUGGAUUCCCCAGGGAGGAUUAGCUAGUUGUUGAGGUAAUGGCUCACCAAGGCGACGACCCCUAGCUGGUCUGAGAGGCUGAUCAGCCACACGGGAACUGAGACACGGUCCAGACUCCUACGGGAGGCAGCAGUGGGGAAUAUUGCACAAUGGGUGCAACCCUGAUGCAGCCAUGCCGCGUGUGGGAAGAAGGCCUUCGGGUUGUAAAGCACUUUCAGCGAGGAGGCGUUACUCGCAGAAGAAGCACCGGCUAACUCCGUGCCAGCAGCCGCGGUAAUUC